AGCGGCGGACGGGUGCGUAACACGUGGGAAACCAACCCUCCAGAUGGGGACAACCUCGGGAAACCGGGGCUAGUACCGAAUACGCUCACCGGGUCGCAUGGCCUGGUGAGGAAAGGAUCGCAAGAUCGCUGGAGGACGGUCCCGCGGCCUAUCAGCUAGUUGGUGAGGUAACGGCCCACCAAGGCGAUGACGGGUAGCUGGCCUGAGAGGGUGGUCAGCCACACUGGAACUGAGACACGGUCCAGACUCCUACGGGAGGCAGCAGUUGGGAAUUUUGGGCAAUGGGCGCAAGCCUGACCCAGCGACGCCGCGUGGGGGAUGAAGGCCUUCGGGUUGUAAACCCCUGUCAGGAGGGACGAAGCCGCAAGGUGACGGUACCUCCAGAGGAAGCCCCGGCUAACUACGUGCCAGCAGCCGCGGUAAGACGUAGGGGGCGAGCGUUGUCCGGAAUUACUGGGCGUAAAGCGCGUGCAGGCGGCUUGGUAAGUCCCGUGUGAAAGCCUACGGCUCAACUGUAGGAGGUCGCGGGA
rnacentral:rRNA from 1 species